rnacentral:rRNA from 1 species
AGAGUUUGAUCGAUGGCUCAGGACGAACGCUGGCGGCGUGCCUAACACAUGCAAGUCGAGCGGAGACAGAUGGGAAGCUUGCUUCUGUCUGUUCAGCGGCGGAUGGGUGAGUAACACGUGGGUAACCUGCCCUGCACUGGGGAAUAACAGCUGGAAACGGCUGUUAAUGCCGCAUAUGCGCACGGAGCCGCAUGGCUUUGGGCGGAAAGAUUUAUCGGUGCAGGAUGGGCCCGCGCCGGAUUAACUAGUUGGCGGGGUAACGGCCCACCAAGGUGAUGAUCCGUAGCCGACCUGAGAGGGUGACCGGCCACAUUGGGACUGAGACACGGCCCAAACUCCUACGGGAGGCAGCAGUGGGGGAUAUUGCACAAUGGGGGAAACCCUGAAUGCAGCGACGCCGCGUGAAGGAUGAAGUAUUUCGGUAUGUAAACUUCUAUCAGCGGGGAAGAAGAUGACGGUACCCGACUAAGAAGCCCCGGCUAACUACGUGCCAGCCGCCGC